UACGAACCGCCCGAACGUUGUUCGGAAUCACUGGGCUUAAAGGGCGCGUAGGCGGGCUGCCAAGUCCGGGGUGAAAUCCUCCAGCUUAACUGGAGAACUGCCUCGGAUACUGGAAGUCUCGAGGAGGGUAGGGGCAAGUGGAACCGUGGGUGGAGCGGUGAAAUGCGUUGAUAUCCAUGGGAACUCCGGUGGCGAAGGCGGCGCACUGGACCACUUCUGACGCUGAGGCGCGAAAGCUAGGGGAGCAAACAGG
rnacentral:rRNA from 1 species